rnacentral:rRNA from 1 species
AGCAGCCGCGGUAAUUCCAGCUCCAAUAGCGUAUAUUAAAGUUGUUGCAGUUAAAAGCUCGUAGUUGAAUUUCGGGAUCAGUAGGUUGGUCAUACCUCUGGUAUGUACUGGUCUCACUGAUUCCUCCCUCUUGAAGAACUGUAAUGUCAUUAAUUUGAUGUUGCGGGGAAUCAGGACUGUUACUUUGAAAAAAUUAGAGUGUUUAAAGCAGGCUCACGCUUGAAUACAUUAGCAUGGAAUAAUGAAAUAGGACGUAUGAUCCUAUUUUGGUUGGUUUCUAGGGAUUGACGUAAUGAUUAAUAGGGAUAGUUGGGGGCAUUAGUAUUCAAUUGUCAGAGGUGAAAUUCUUGGAUUUAUUGAAGACUAACUACUGCGAAAGCAUUUGCCAAGGUGUUUUCAUUAAUCAAGAACGAAAGUUAGGGGAUCGAAGACGAUCAGAUACCGUCGUAGUCUUAACCAUAAACUAUGCCGACUAGGGAUUCGGAUGA